rnacentral:sRNA from 1 species
UUUUUGUGUAUGGCGGGGUGGAUUCGAACCCUCGAAUAGACAAGAAGGUUCGAGCCGAGGCAGGCUUAAGCCUGCCGAGACAACGUCGGAGCGCCAGCGACGACGGCCCGCAGGGCGAGACGCGUAGCGUCGAGUAAUCCCUCCCUCUCCGCCA